CUUGAAUUGUUAUUUUUAUUGCACAAUAGCAGGAAGACCUGCAACAUGACACUGUUUAUUCCAGUACACAAUCAAAUGUAGUAAAAGAAGAUCAGCCUGCAGCUAAAAGUAUGAAUGAAAGCACCAAUAAGCAGUUUAACUAUCAGUCUCUUUCAGAAGGUAUGAUGCCAUAUUUAUUGUGAAUCUUUCUUGUAGAUGAGUUUGAAGGUGUACAUGUUGCUGGAAAAAAGUUAUUUCAAUUUAAAACAAAACUUCCACAAUUAUUGAACUGGGAAGAGUAUGGUUUGAGGAUAACAGUACUAGAAGGAGCUGUUAUACCUUCUGGAACCAUUGAAGUAGCCAUUACUGCUCUUGUUGGUGGAGAGUUUAUAUUACCAGAGGAUUCUGAGCUAGUCAGUGCUGUGUACACUAUAACUGUCUCCAAGCCUCUACUGAAACCAGUUCUGCUAGAGAUACAGCAUUGUGUUUCAAUUGAAACACAACCUCAAGCAGAUUAUCUCAGCUUUGUUACAGCUUCCUCUAGUGACCGCUGUCCUUUCAAAUUUCAAUCAGUAAAUGAAGGAAGUUUCCCAGUUGGCUCUCAGUAUGGCAGUAUACUCAUUUCUGAGUUUUCUGAAUGGGCCAUUGUCCGAACCAUUAAGGGCUGGUUGAAAAAAUUGCGCCACUCAAGUCGGAGUGUAUCUUCUCAAUCUAUGGAAAAUAAGAAUCCUCUCA